rnacentral:lncRNA from 1 species
GACAAGAUGGCUCCUCGCUCUCGGAUUUUCUGCACCGCCUGGGGCCAAGUUAUACCUCUUCUCCCCUCUCGGAAUUGCUGCCAAGAAUCUUGAGAUACAGAUACAGUCCCCACAUCCCAGAGACAAGCUUCCUCCAAAGGCCAGGCCAAUCCUAUGGAGUCAUAUGUCCCCUGAGAGAUAGAAAAAUGUCGCUAGAUUCGCGCCGAAAGUAGGUUAGAGAAGCAAGAACUUCUGGGAAAUGUAGUCUAGAACCAGAAUGGGUGCGGCGCCCGCCUAAGUAGAAGAUUGUCUUGGUUGUUUUUUUGCACAGAGUUUGCUGCGGUGGAGGACAGAGUGGCGCCCAAGACUCUUCUAGGAGUUGUAGCUUACUCUGAGGAUAUUUCAGAUUGACUAAAGCAACAUUUUUGCCUUCCUCUGUGGAUUAACGUGGUGUGUGAUCUGUGCUAGUCUGGGAGCGGAAACCUAGGAGUCUCGGAUACGAACCCUCAGCAGGAAAGUAAAGGAGAGCAAUCAGCGACUCCGGAAUGGAGCGGAUGAACACGGAUUAUCAGGCCCGUCCAGCAGUUUGUUUGUUGUGCAUGCCCCAGUUCAGUUCAGUUCAGUCACUCAGUCAUGUCCGACUCUUUGCAAC